UGCAAAGACUUUGGGACUGUCGGGAUCCGGGGAUUAUACUUCGUUUUGAGUGGGUUUGAUUGUUUGUAGUGUAUGUGUUCAUUUUGGGGGCUUCAGAUGCAUUGAAUUUGAUUUAAUAUAAUAACAUUUGGGUUUCCGCAUAUCGACUGUGUGUUUUUCUUUUACGACCAUUUGAGCAGAGAGAGUUAACACCAGAAUUCGCAGAUCCGCCCAUUCCCUUUUUUUUUUUUUUUUAGCGUAUUGUACCUUUUCCCCUUGAUUGAGUUGCUAAGGGCGAAUGAGACAACAUAACCAAAAGAAUGACAACAUUUAGUUUAGAUGAAAUACCGAUCGCGUUUUCAGCCUUAUACGUUGUUUUCUAAAUGUUUGAAUGUGGAGUACGUGUGAUCGAAUACAAUAUUGUUGACAACACCAAAAAGCUACAUAAAAAAGCUCCCCUUAUACUGGAGCUGCGAGCGUGGAGUGGCACUUUAUGACGUUGCGUAAUCACUGCCAGAAAGCAGGUUGAAGUCCAUCCGCCCCGGAGCGGGCGGCUCCAGAACCCUACAUAGCGGAGUUAUUUCCCCACAGACCCCCGAUGGCGGAGACGCAAAUCGUCAUAUUAAAAGUCAUUGUAGCGGCACAAUUUUUUUCAAGCUGUUAUUUUAAGGUACAAUUGUUACAUAGUGUUGCUUUAAGAUAGAAUAAUGCAUGAAGGUCUUUGUCAGUUAUUUGUGUCCACUUUACGUUACUGUGCAUGACCACUUUGUCAAUAAAGAGUUUUCAAAAGGAAUUCCUGAUCUAUUCCACAUGCUGCGACUGCACCGUCCACAGGCCAAUCAGAUCGCUUGGCGUCACUGUCCACAAGCCAAUCAGAUCGCUCGGUGUGCCGGGUCUAUUUGAAAACAGAAAUGGCUGAAGCUCGAGCGUAAGUCUCUAAUGUUUAAUAAACGUUUAACCCUGUGUUGUCGUUUUAAACGUUUCAAUAUGCUUCAGAUAACAUGUUUAACAUGUCAGAUAACGUGUACGUUGUGUUUUAAAGUUGUAACUAAAGCGUCUGCUUUAGUUAGCUAGCAGAUGCUAACGGCUGCUAACUAGAUUACUAAGGCUGUGUCUAUUACCGCGCACUUGAGCACUUGGAGCUGACUUUCAGUGUUCGAAGUGCGCCACUGAAAAAACCAGCAGAAUUCAGUGCACUGAAAGUACCCGGAUGGUGCACUGCAAACGGGCAAAACAUGUAAAACGAUGGACACUACUCGCACUAAGCGGCCGCCAUCUUGGUGACGUACCGGAAGAGGAGGAGCCCUUUCGCCAGCUCUUCAUUUUAUUUCUAAAACAAUGGCGGACAGCACAAGCGGUAGACCACGAAGCUCCAGACCGUAAAUAGACGUUCCUGGAGGUGCUGCUGGUCCUCUGCUGCCCUCCCGACAUCUGGCUCCAAUGACCUCUGGCACCUCACAUCCACCUCCAGGGCCUUUAAGAAGAUGGACCGCCAUCGCGUUUUCAGUAUCCCGAAGGACCUCUCCACAACACCCCUGGCCUUUGACAGGCAGCGGUUGUAGCUUGGAGGUGGACAGGCUGCCUGAAGGGGGUCAUGAGGCAGAUGGGUUGGGACAGGCAGGGGGAGCCACCAUCCCCAAGGAUACAGUAUCCUGGUGGAGGGGAUGACUGCUCAUAGAAGAUGGGGCUGUUAUUCAGGACCCUGGCAUCAUGCACUGAGCCCGGGGCCUGUCGAAGGCCUUGGCAAGCCAAAAAAUAAAAACUAGACAGGAGAUCUCGGGGCCCCAACCGUGGUCAGUCAGUGCCCAGCACAGCCAUGAGGGCGUUGAAUGACUCGGUGAGCCUGAAGUCCACCCUCAUGUCACUGUGGCCAUCACAACACAACGCCAGCAGUGGCAUUGCAGCAUUGAUACGGCAGCGCCGCUGGGACUGGGUGGCUGCUGUAGAGUGUGGGGAGGGGAGGGGAAGGGAAGAUUAUAUUAAUAUGUAAGUCAUUUUAUCAAUAAAAUGUUGUCAUUGA